rnacentral:rRNA from 1 species
UACGUAGGUGGCAAGCGUUGUCCGGAAUUAUUGGGCGUAAAGCGCGCGCAGGUGGUUUCUUAAGUCUGAUGUGAAAGCCCCCGGCUCAACUGGGGAGGGUCACUCGAUACUGAUCGACUUGAAGGCAGGAGAGGGAAGCGGAAUUCCCGGUGUAGUGGUGAAAUGCGUAGAUAUCGGGAGGAACACCAGUGGCGAAGGCGGCUUCCUGGCCUGUUCUUGACGCUGAGGCGCGAAAGCGUGGGGAGCAAACAGG